rnacentral:rRNA from 1 species
UGCAUUCGAAACUGGCAGGCUAGAGUCUUGUAGAGGGGGGUAGAAUUCCAGGUGUAGCGGUGAAAUGCGUAGAGAUCUGGAGGAAUACCGGUGGCGAAGGCGGCCCCCUGGACAAAGACUGACGCUCAGGUGCGAAAGCGUGGGGAGCAAACAGGAUUAGAUACCCUGGUAGUCCACGCCGUAAACGAUGUCGAUUUGGAGGUUGUGCCCUUGAGGCGUGGCUUCCGGAGCUAACGCGUUAAAUCGACCGCCUGGGGAGUACGGCCGCAAGGUUAAAACUCAAAUGAAUUGACGGGGGCCCGCACAAGCGGUGGAGCAUGUGGUUUAAUUCGAUGCAACGCGAAGAACCUUACCUGGUCUUGACAUCCACAGAACUUNUUGGUGCCUUCGGGAACUGUGAGACAGGUGCUGCAUGGCUGUCGUCAGCUCGUGUUGUGAAAUGUUGGGUUAAGUCCCGCAACGAGCGCAACCCUUAUCCUUUGUUGCCAGCGGUCCGGCCGGGAACUCAAAGGAGACUGCCAGUGAUAAACUGGAGGAAGGUGGGGAUGACGUCAAGUCAUCAUGGCCCUUACGACCAGGGCUACACACGUGCUACAAUGGCAUAUACAAAGAGAAGCGACCUCGCGAGAGCAAGCGGACCUCAUAAAGUAUGUCGUAGUCCGGAUUGGAGUCUGCAACUCGACUCCAUGAAGUCGGAAUCGCUAGUAAUCGUAGAUCAGAAUGCUACGGUGAAUACGUUCCCGGGCCUUGUACACACCGCCCGUCACACCAUGGGAGUGGGUUGCAAAAGAAGUAGGUAGCUUAACCUUCGGGAGGGCGCUUACCACUUUGUGAUUCAUGACUGGGGUGAAGUCGUAACAAGGUAACCGUAGGGGAACCUGCGGUUGGAUCACCU